UGAUUCCAAGUUCUUUACUAACUCAGUGUCGAUCUCUAAACGCCUAAUCUCACGACUGGUUAAGAAAGCAAAGUUCACUCUCAAGCUAACCUAUGGAUGCUGCUUACCUAGAUGCAUAAGAUAGGUUAAAUCCAUGCAAUUCGAUGCUGGUGAAACUAGAAUAGAAUAUUAUAGAAAAGGAAGUGUCUGUUGUCUUUCCAACUCCUUUUGGGCAAGCAGCUUCACUCGGAUCUUCUUUAUUGUGCUUGUCGUGCUGGGACUGCUCCUCAUUAACAACCUCUCCUUCCUUUCGGAGAACUACAACUCAUAACUACUUUGGGAACUUAGAAAGCAGAAAGUAGAAAUGCAAUGAAACGAUACCGUGCUUGGUUGGACUAAGAUACAACUUACCGGGGCUGGGCGUCCGAAGAAUCGAUGGUCCUUCCAAUUACUUAAACGAGCUUCUUUGUUCAUAUCACUCAUCGGCCUCGCUUAGGUUCGUCUCGAUUCUCCCCAGAUUGGGGGAUCGCCUUUGACCUGCCCGACAUGCUCUUUACUUGACUUCUUUCUUUUUCCUCAAUCGUAUCUCCACGAGAAGAAAGCCGGGGAGAAGACGACUAAUCAUCUCCUGAACCAAGCCCGUGUUGGAAUAGCAGUACNN
rnacentral:lncRNA from 1 species